rnacentral:rRNA from 1 species
CGUACACUCCUGCGGGAGGCAGCAGUGGGGAAUAUUGCACAAUGGGCGCAAGCCUGAUGCAGCCAUGCCGCGUGUAUGAAGAAGGCCUUCGGGUUGUAAAGUACUUUCAGCGGGGAGGAAGGCGAUAAGGUUAAUAACCUUGUUGAUUGACGUUACCCGCAGAAGAAGCACCGGCUAACUCCGUGCCAGCAGCCGCGGUAAUACGGAGGGUGCAAGCGUUAAUCGGAAUUACUGGGCGUAAAGCGCACGCAGGCGGUCUGUCAAGUCGGAUGUGAAAUCCCCGGGCUCAACCUGGGAACUGCAUUCGAAACUGGCAGGCUAGAGUCUUGUAGAGGGGGGUAGAAUUCCAGGUGUAGCGGUGAAAUGCGUAGAGAUCUGGAGGAAUACCGGUGGCGAAGGCGGCCCCCUGGACAAAGACUGACGCUCAGGUGCGAAAGCGUGGGGAGCAAACAGGAUUAGAAACCCCUGUAGUCCCAU